AAAAAAAUUGUUUUUUCUACAGUAUGAAAAGAGAGACGUUUAGCAUUCCCCUGGACAAGGAUGGAACACAUAUAUAAGGUAAGGCACUGUCGCCUU
rnacentral:snRNA from 13 species